GAUGAAGAACGUAGCGAAAUGCGAUACUUGGUGUGAAUUGCAGAAUCCCGCGAAUCAUCGAGUUUUUGAACGCAAGUUGCGCCCGAAGCCAUUCGGCCGAGGGCACGUCUGCCUGGGUGUCACGCAUCGUUGCCCCCCCAAACUCCGGUUCGGGCAGGGCGGAAGUUGGCCUCCCGUGCGUGCCUGCGCGCGCGGUUAGCCCAAAAGCGAGUCCUCGGCGACGAGCGCCACGACAAUCGGUGGUUUUUUUACCCUCGUUCCUCGUCGUGCGUGCCCCGUCGCCCGAACGCGCUCUUGCGACCCUUACGCGUCGCCUCGGCGGCGCUCCCAACACGACCCCAGGUCAGGCGGGACUACCCGCUGAGUUUAAGCAUAUCAAUAAGCGAGGA
rnacentral:misc_RNA from 1 species